rnacentral:rRNA from 1 species
CAGUAGCCGCGGGAACACCAGCACCUCGAGUGGUCAGGAGGUUUAUUGGGCCUAAAGCAUCCGUAGCCGGUUGCAUAAGUUUUCGGUUAAAUCUGUGCGCUUAACGUAUAGGCCGCCGAAAGUACUGUGCAGCUAGGGAGUGGGAGAGGUACACGGUACUCGAUAGGAAGGGGUAAAAUCCCUUGAUCUAUUGAUGACCACCUGUGGCGAAGGCGGUGUACCAGAACACGUUCGACGGUGAGGGAUGAAAGCUGGGGGAGCAAACCGGAUUAGAUACCCGUGUAGUCCCUGUCUCUUAUAC